UUGAACGCUGGCGGCAUGCCUAACACAUGCAAGUCGAACGGGUUGUAGCAAUACAACUAGUGGCGGACGGGUGAGGAAUACAUAGGAAUUUGCCUUUAGGUGGGGGAUAGUCCGGGGAAACUCGGUUUAAUACCGCAUGAUGUCGCAAGACCAAAGCAGGGGAUCGCAAGACCUUGCGCCUUUAGAGAAGCCUAUGUCGGAUUAGCUAGUUGGUAGGGUAAUGGCCUACCAAGGCGACGAUCCGUAACUGGUCUGAGAGGACGAUCAGUCACACCGGAACUGAGACACGGUCCGGACUCCUACGGGAGGCAGCAGUGGGGAAUAUUGGACAAUGGGCGAAAGCCUGAUCCAGCAAUGCCGCGUGUGUGAAGAAGGCCUUCGGGUUGUAAAGCACUUUAGUUUGGGAAGAAAAAGCUUCACCUAAUACGUGAAGCCUUGACGGUACCAAAGGAAUAAGCACCGGCUAACUCUGU
rnacentral:rRNA from 1 species